GUCGAUGUAGCUUAACGGUAAAGCACUAGGGACAUGUCGUAAAAGACUAGAUAUAAUUGGUUCAAUUCCAAUCAUCGGCACCA
rnacentral:tRNA from 1 species